rnacentral:lncRNA from 1 species
CGGACCAAGUUUGGGAAACGUUGAAAACGGAGGCCUAAAGGAAAAGUGAGUUGCUAAAGUUGAAACUUGAACACAGAAUCUCAAGCAAGUGCUUUUGCUAGUCUCAAUGGAAAUGAGAUAACUAGAAUAGAGGUUGGAGAACAAUUCACAAUACUCACAACAGGUUCCAGAAAGUGGACUCUAGCAGAAGGGAUUAUUUAGAGUUAGUGCUGGAGAACAGUCCUGGAUUAGCAAAACAGGUCCUAGAAAACAACAUACCCCGAUGUUUUGUGAGGCAAACAAACCAGGUCAGACCAAAUCACUGGCCAUAAGGUAUCUUUUCUGACAACCUAGCUGCUACUGAGGAAGCCCGUUUUCCUUGCCUCUCCCUUCAUUUGCCUUCUGAGACCCUAUUUACAAAAAAAUCAACUCCUUCUUCUGGAAGCUGUAUUCUACAGAAAGGAGCCCCUUCAUGGCUUCCCAAGAUCCACUACGGCUUCCCAAAAGCUUCCUGACGUAUUUUCACUCCACCCGUGAUUUCCAGAUCACUCCAGACCUGCAGAAUCAUCGUGUUCCUGUGUGGAUUGUUCAACAAGGAAGAUAAUUUUGGAAAUGUACCUGUUAUUGCUCUUUUCUUGGCUUCUGCUCAUGGUACUUUGAAAAAAACAAGCAGCAACACCAAAGUUGUACAGGCUUCACAGGGCACUCUAUUACAGGAACAGAUGGUCAUAUAAAUGAGAACUUGAUUUCACUGCAAGAAAACCUUCCAUUCAUCUCCCAUAGUUUGGGAAUGGGGUGAUUGGAUUAAUUAAAUAUUCUGGUAAGCAGUGAGGAUCCAUUUAUCCACAAUGGAUUACCAUUUUUAAAAAAUGUACAUCACCAGUAAGUACACUGUGCAUGGGCUCAAUGGAACACAGUCUCAUCCUUCACAAUGUGGCUCAGAACAGAACUCAGACUCAUCAAUUCAGUGACAGCAGGGCCAGCAAGGCUUGAGUGCUAAAUAGCUCCAUUUGGUGAACACUGAAGCUUCAUUGUACUAAUGACAUAGGGAAAACCUAGGAGCGAGCCCAAGCUGAUGAAAUGCUAGAGGAAGGACUAGGAUAGCAGGAAAACUUAGAUACAUUUCUAAAAAGGAACAAGAUUGAUAAGAGGGAGCUAGCAUGGAAGAGGUGAAAACUGAAUUCUAACAUCUACAAAAAAAACCUACAACAAACAUCAUACUUAAUGGUGAAAAACAAGAAGCUUCUCCACUAAAAUCAGGAACAAGGCAAGGAUAUUUCUUCUCAACUGCUUUCCAACACUGUAUUGAAAGUCCUAACUAAUUCAAUAAGGUAAGAAAAGAAAAGAAAAUGAUAUACGUAUUUGGAAGGAAGAAAUGAAAUGGUCUUUGUUUGCAGAUUACCUGAUUGUCUAUGUAGAAAAUCUGAAAGAUUAAACAAAGCAAUUCCUGGAACUAAUAAGCAAUUAUAGCAAGGUUGCAGGAUGCAAGGUUAAUAUACGAAAGUCAAUAACUCUCCUAUGCACCAAUGAUGAAUAAGUGAAACCUAAAAUGCUUAGGUAUAAACCUAACAAAUUAUGUACAAUAUCUAUAUCUUAGGCAGUUUAGGCUGCUAUAAUGGGACACCAUAAAAUAGGUGGCUUAUAAACAACAACAAAUUCUUUCUCAUAAUUUUGGAGGCUGUAAAGUCCAAGAUCAAAAUGCUGGCAGAUUUGCCAUCUCAUGAGUGCCUGCUUCUUUCUGUAUUCUCACCUGAUGGAAGGGGGAAGAGAGCUCUUAAGAGUUUCUUUUAUGAAGGCCUUAGUCCUAUCUUUGAGGGCUUUGCCCUCAUCACCUAAUCACCUGCUGAAGGAUUCACCCCCCAAUACCAUCAUUGUGGGGGUCUUUCAACAUAUAAAUUUUGAGGGGAGGAGUAGCACAAACAUUCAGUCUAUAACAAUUUAUAUGAAAAAAACUAAAACUCAAACCAAAUAAAGAACUAAAUUAACAAAGAGAUAUUCCAAGUUCAGGAAUAGAAAGAUGCGAUAUUUUCAAGCUUUAAUUUCUUUCCAACUUGAUCUAUAGAUUCAAUGAAAUCCCAGUCAAAUUCCCAGUGAGUUAUUUUUUGAUAUCGACAAAAUGAUUCUAAAGUUUAUAUGGAGAGAAAAAAGACCCAGAAUAACCAACUCAACAUUGAAAGAGAAUACCAAUGUCUGAGAGCUGCCACUGUCAACUUCAAGACUAAAGCUACAGUCAACAAUCAAAAUAGUGUAGCACUGGUGAACAAAAGACAAAUAGAUCAGUUGGAUGGAAUACAGAGCCAAGAAAUAGACUCAUAUAAAUAUAGUCACCUAAUCUUUGACAAAGACGCAAAGACAAAACAAUGGUGCAAAGACAGUAUUUUCAACAAACAGUACUGGAGCAACUGGAUAUCCUAAAGCCAAAACUGAAUCUAGACACGGACCUGACACCCUUUUAGAAAACUGACUCAAAAUGGACCAUAAACCUAGAUGUAAAGCAUAAAAAUAUUAAAGUCCUAAAAGAUAACAUAGGAGAAAACUUAGCUAACUUUAGGUAUAGCAAUAAAUUUUUUAAUACACCAC